AAAUAGGUAGGUUAAAAAAAAACCAUUGAGUUGUGGUCUCAAAAAUACCGUGGAAGUCCUAAUUC
rnacentral:tRNA from 1 species